rnacentral:rRNA from 1 species
UACGGGGGGGGUAAGCGUUAAUCGGAAUUACUGGGCGUAAAGCGUGCGCAGGCGGCUUUGCAAGACAGAUGUGAAAUCCCCGGGCUUAACCUGGGAACUGCAUUUGUGACUGCAUGGCUGGAGUGCGGCAGAGGGGGAUGGAAUUCCGCGUGUAGCAGUGAAAUGCGUAGAUAUGCGGAGGAACACCGAUGGCGAAGGCAAUCCCCUGGGCCUGCACUGACGCUCAUGCACGAAAGCGUGGGGAGCAAACAGG